AAAGUGGUUUGUUUUGUGAAUGAAAGCUGGAUGCCUUUAGCAGGAUGGCAUUAACACUGACCUCUGCUCAUGCAUUGAAUUCCUGCCCAGUGGGAGAGCUGGAGAAGAUGCAGAGGGCAAGUCAAAACCCAGAAGGUUCACAAAGCACAACUAGUCUACAAGGACUAGUUUGAGCUACUCUCACCAGCUAAGACAACACUUCUCUAUAAGGUGAGCACGUUGAAUAAAGCUUAUCGAUGU